AGUCAAGUAAUUAAGUGCAUGUGGUGGAUGCCUUGGCAGUCAGAGGCGAUGAAAGACGUGAUAGCCUGCGAAAAGCUCCGGGGAGGCGGCAAAUAUCCUUUGAUCCGGAGAUGUCUGAAUGGGGGAACCCACCUACUUUAAGGUAGGUAUUGCAACAUGAAUACAUAGUGUUGCAAGGCGAACGAGGGGAAGUGAAACAUCUCAGUACCCUUAG
rnacentral:rRNA from 1 species